rnacentral:rRNA from 1 species
UACGGGGGGGGCAAGCGUUGUUCGGAAUUACUGGGCGUAAAGGGCUCGUAGGCGGCCAACUAAGUCAGACGUGAAAUCCCCAGGCUCAACCUGGGAACUGCGUCUGAUACUGGAUGGCUUGAAUUCGGGAGAGGGAUGCAGAAUUCCAGGUGUAGCGGUGAAAUGCGUAGAUAUCUGGAGGAAUACCGGUGGCGAAGGCGGCAUCCUGGACCAACACUGACGCUGAGUGAGCGAAAGCCAGGGGAGCAAACGGG